CAAUAGCGUAUAUUAAAGUUGUUGCGGUUAAAAAGCUCGUAGUUGGAUUUCUGUCGAAGGCGGCCGGUCCGCACUAUGUGCGUGUAUCUGGUUCGGUUUUGGCAUCCUCUUGGGGAACGUUUCUGUGCUUGAUUGCAUGGGGCGGAAUUCAAGACUUUUACUUUGAGGAAAUUAGAGUGUUCACGGCAAGCUAUCGCUUUGAAUACAUUAGCAUGGAAUAAUAAUAUAGGGCGUAAGUUCUAUUUUGUUGGUUUCUAGGACAUACGCAAUGAUUAAUAGGGACAAUUGGGGCAGUUCGUACUAACGCGUCAGAGGUGGAAUUCUUAGAUUGCGUUAUGACGAACUACUGCGAAAGCAUUUGCCAAGGAUGUUUUCAUUGAUCAAGAACGAAAGUAUGGGGAUCGAAGAUGAUUAGAUACCA
rnacentral:rRNA from 1 species